CGCCACUCGUCUGCCAGCGCCAGGUGACGGACUCAGCUCGCAGCACACAGAACAACAUCGCGGCCGCUUGAGACAACAGGAGCUUAUUGGUGCCAUCAUUUCCGGAUCAACUGCAGCUACAAGGUUCAAGUUAAGUGCUUAUGUGUCUUAAGGGGUUAAAAUGGUAACAUCUUGCAGAUAUGGACUGGGAAUAACUUGUCAUAGGCACGAUAGAAAGUAAAUGAAUUGAGUGUGUUUUGUUGACAUACCAAGGGAUGUUUCUGGUAGAUAUUCGGAUGUGCAUUUUGUAAACGGAGGCUCUUUUUGCAGUCAAGGCUUGACUCCGUUUUUAUUGUGUACAUGCCUGGUGUGUGGCUGAUUUUUAUUUCUGUUGGUUUCUGUGACUGUUGAUGACCGGAUUGUAUUCGGUCAGUUAUUGUACGUAAAUUCUGUGCUUUACAAAACAGGGUCUUCCCUGGUUCACCAUCUGUUGUAAUUUCUGUUUUAUGUCAUGGUCAGUGGUUGUCGGGAACCUGGACCAUUACAUAAUCUGCUUUGUGUCGCUCUCUUGGGUCCCGAACCAAGAGAACAACACAGGCCAGAAAGGACGACAGGUGAUUGAAGAACCUAUUUUAUAUUAGUAGUUAAUUCCUGUAGAAUAGUCGACUUCUCGGCGUAGACACAGUCACAGAAACCGAAUCAGCCAUUCAUCGGGCUUGUAUACCACAGAAACAGACUGAAGCAGUCAUAUAUAGCUUCUCGAAAUUUAAACCGAAACAAACGUCAACAUUACUUGGGAUUUCAUCAAAGCACACUCAAUCGUUACUACACAUAAAUUCAUCCCACUUUUUCCACGAUAAACCUAGAACGGAAAUUUUAAUCACAAACCAAGUUAACAUUCUGUACUUGUAAGGUAUAUUUCCUACAUUCCUGAGCCAAAAUAAUUCAUUUUCGUCUUGUCUUUUCUGCCGAGGAUCAUCGCACCGUAAGAAGAAAUGUCCGGACGUGGAAAGGGAGGCGAGGACUGACGUAGGGAGGUACCGGACGUGACCGAAUGGGGAUUCAGUCUUCCAAUAUGACAAGAAACGCCUGCACGCCGUAAGAGAGGAUAGGAGCUGGGGAAUCGAGCUGUGAAUCGCCUGUCACUGAAAGUGCUGGUCAACAUCCAGUACAUCACCGAGCCAAGGAGGCAUACAGUCUUUCAGAGACAUAUGACAAGGACGUAGGUGUGAACAGCUUAUCUGUGAGGCAGCUGAUGCGUGCAUACGUCCUGGCCCUGCUUUGGAACCUGUUCGCUAGUAUUGGAGGAAGGAAGCAAACAAGAAGACUGUUGACUGGGUUGACACAACUGUACAACAAGUUUGAAAUGCGACAUCUCUCAGGAGCUUCCAGUAUCUUAUUGGUGCCAUCAAGCCCGGAUCAACUGCAGCUGCAAUGUAUGGACUUAUCCUGAUUAGAGGCUGCCUGAUGCCCUCUCCACCGUGACGUCCAGAAAGAUGCACUCAGGACUUCAGCCCGCUUCUGUGUUGUACAGGCCCGAUGUGUGACUGAUUUGGUUUCUGUGGCUGUGUUAAUGGCCCUUAUCGUACUCAACCAGUUACUGUAAAUUCUGUUCUUUAUAAAACAGGACCUUUCCUGGUUAAUCAUUAUCUGUUGUCAUUUCUGUUUCAUGUCGUGGUCAGUGGUAGUCGGGAACCUGGACCAUUACAUAAUCUGCUUUGUGUCGCUAUCUUGGGUCCCGAACCAAGAGAACGACACAGGCCAGAAAGAA